AGCUCAUGGGGGAGGGAGAAAUCCUGACGGAGGGAGAAAUCCUGACGGAGCUCUCAAAUCCACAGUCCAUAGGAAUGAUUCUGCCAGAGCCAGCUCAAAACAUGCCAGUUUUCUGGCAAACAUUGUGUGAAGAAUACAUUUGCUACAGUGAAACCAUUUUUAGUUCAGUGCCGAAUGCCAUGGUCACUGUCAGUUGCAAGCUUCUCUUCCACUCCCAAUCUGUGAAACAUCUUCAGGACACUACUCUGUUCCACGUUGGAGGGAGCUGUAUAUCAGUAUUAGAUUGGACUGGGUUGCAUGCCUACUGCUGCCUGCAGAUUUGACUAUGAAAAAGCAGGUGACACAAGUUUGGAUCUCAAUGGAAAAUGGAGCUCGCAUAAGAAGCACAAAUAUUUCACAGUGUUGUAAUUAGAGCACACUAAAGGAGCCUGGUACCCAGAAAUGGUGGAAUGAACAGAGACUAGAGCUAAGAGGGAGCUGGAAGCCAUCUCAAGAGGUCAUCUUAACUCAUCCUUCUACUCCAAAGCAGAAUCAGCUCAACCCAAAGCAUUCCUGACAGGUAUUUGUUUUAUCUGUUCUUCAAGAACUUCAGUGAUAAAGAUAGCA
rnacentral:lncRNA from 1 species